rnacentral:rRNA from 1 species
UGGGGAAUAUUGGACAAUGGAGGAAACUCUAAUCCAGCAAUUCUGUGUGUGUGAAGAAGGUUUUAGGACUGUAAAACACUUUUAGUAGGGAAGAAAAAAAUGACGGUACCUACAGAAGAAGCAACGGCUAAAUACGUGCCAGCAGCCGCGGUAAUACGUAUGUUGCGAGCGUUAUCCGGAAUUAUUGGGCUUAAAGGGCAUCUAGGCGGUAAGACAAGUUGAAGGUGAAAACCUGUGGCUCAACCAUAGGCUUGCCUACAAAACUGUUGAACUAGAGUACUGGAAAGGUGGGUGGAACUACACGAGUAGAGGUGAAAUUCGUAGAUAUGUGUAGGAAUGCCGAUGAUGAAGAUAGCUCACUGGACAGAAACUGACGCUGAAGUGCGAAAGCUAGGGGAGCAAACAGG